GUCCCGUUCGCCUGAGCGCUGGUGUCGGCUAGGAUGCCGGAUGCGGGGUGCAAGCUUCAGGGUGCAGUGUACAGGGUUCAGCCCUGAUCCCUGCCUGACAAAUCGCUAUCCCAUUUGGAUCACGCGCCGUUCAAAGGCCGGAAGUGGAUCGUAGGCAUGAGGCAGACAAGCUGCAUGGGCUCUGCCUCCACCAAGCAGGAGUUCUUCCGGUCCCAGCCAGCACCUUCCAGGCGGCUCGAUGAAGCGGGAGCCAAGGUUGGUGACAAUGAAGGAGGUCACGCAGAAGGCCACGCGGUCCUGGCGCAGGGAGCGGACAAUCAGCAUCCGUUGCAUUUCAUUGCAGGCAUUUUCCCACUCACCUAGGGACGAGACGCAUCAGCAGCCGACCGCCUGCAUCCAUGGAAGGACCCCCUGUGACAGGUACUGGCUAACCCAUCCCUCACCAGCUGCAUCCACGGAAGGACCCCAUGUGAGGGGUACCGCCAACCCGUCCCCCACCAGCACCCAGGGACAGUGACUUGGCCUGCCCUAAGGCCCCAGCCCAGGGCUGUCUGAACGGAGGGACAGCUGGUAGGAGAUGGAGACCUCUUGAAGCAUAAUAAACCACACAAGAUUGGUUGUCAAGAGAAGGCCAGAGAGCACAUAAAUGACUGCCACUCCAUGCCAGAGACCAUACCUAAGGUGGAACCUUGAAAGAGGAAGAAGCAGCAAGAAAUGAACCCAAGAGCUGUUCCUCUAACAGCUAAAGAGUCCACUCAAGACAAAGGACUGGCUGGGUGUGGUGGUUCAUGCCUGUAAUCCCAAUACUUUGGCAG